UCUUCCUCUCAUCCUUACGGCUGAACACAAUGACAAAAGCGCUGACAGUGAUAUGGACACAGGUCCCAUUAAGUCCUGAUCUUCUCUCUGUUUUCUCCUGAAGGAGAUUCUGUCAUCAGAGGUGCACGUCAGUUUUCAAUAGAUGACCUCUUAAUGCCCAGGGUCAGCACCACACUGGCAACAAUUUCACACUGAAGAUGAAAGGAAAUGAACAGGCAGGACGCCGGGGUGACCGAGCGAAGAGGAACGGACCGACCCGACCCGCUUCACUGCACUCAGGAAACAGAGGACCGGGUGAGCUGGGAAGAUCAAAUAUCUGAUGAGCUGAAGAAAGAAAGAGAUCCUAUACCGCUGUAUCAUCGAAAGCAUAUCCCAAACAACUCCAUCACAGUUUGGUAUGCCAGCUGUUAAAGGAAAGGAGGUUGUUGGGUGUCUCUCUCUCUCUCUCGGGCAUAGCAGCAGCAGAGAGACUCUUUAUGCAUUCAUGAGGUGAGUGAAGGAUAAAUAAAAAGGUUCAUUACCACAGUAAAGUGUUACUAAUGAUAUGUACCUGCCACCCAGCACCUCCGAAAAUCUAAUGUGACACAGUCGAAUGGAAAAUCUAUUCCGCUGUGGUGGGCCACCGGUUUUGCCACAGAGCGCUCGAUGGAAAUUUCCCACAGCCCGCACCUCCAUUUAUGUCUGUCUCUAACCAAUAUUUACAAUUCCAGCACCAUAAUGUCCUACCAGGUCCUUUGUGCCUCUGUCACGACCUCCAUAUUAGCCGAAAAUUGGACUUUUCAAACUUAGCGGGGGAGCGUUUCUCACUGCGGUAGAUGCAGUGCUGGAGUGCACAGCAUGAGGGCAUCACUCCUCAAACCCUUGACCAACCUCAACGCUGAGAUGAUGAAGAAGGUAGAGAUUAACAAAACACAUACAGUACACCUAUUAAACACUUCACAUUAAACAUAAAAGUUUACAAUUUUGCAAAUUCUGACGUCGGUGCAUUGCUAUGGUGUUGGUUAAGCUGUCCUGAAAAGAUUUCAGCACGUUACUAUGCAGAUUCUGGGAUGUGAGUGGUUGCUAGGUUGCUGUUAAGUGGUUGGUAAGAUGUGGUUGCUAAGGCACUCUAGGUUGUUAGAAUGUUUAAGUCAAAUGUGUUUACCCUCAAGUCUCUACAAAAAGGGACAAAAGUUGUAACUGGGACGGUACCCUUUCAAAGUGUCCUAAUAUGUACCUUUGAGGUACAAAUGUGUAC